rnacentral:lncRNA from 1 species
AUUCUAGAGCAGAAUCCCUGGGGCAGCCCCUGCUGAAGGAGGGUGCAUCUGUUGAAAAUCUCACCGCCGCCCCCACCCCGCCCAGCCUUCAAUUUAGAGGAAUUUCUAGUUCAUGCAGAAUGAAGACAAGAUCACAUAAGUGAGGAUGACGCCCUAUUUACAAGUGUGGUUUGGAAGACUGAAGUGGAAACCUUGGGAAAGGGCCUCAGAGUAUGUCAGCUGGGGUCAGACGGGAACAGGAGGCUGGCUCAACACACAUUUAUUGCACUCCUGCUUCAUGCCAAGAAAUGCACCAAAAUCUGGAAUUGUGUAACACAGCAAAGGAAAAGACUCAUCUCCAGGAAGCCCCCUUGUCUAGGAAGAGAAAUUGAAUAUCAGCAUAAGGUGGUGAAAAGCUGUGAAGGAGAUGAGUGCCACAAGUCCAUGGAGGAAGGAUUCUAGCCUGGACAGAGUCUCCAUGAAUUGCAAGGGAAAACAAUGGUACACUGGCAUUUCUAUUUGAUAACCCGUUCUCUUUGGAAUUCUGGUUAGAAAUCAAAGGCUUACUUGAGUUUUAAUGCUUUCAGGACUUGAAAUACUUUUCUAUCUUCCUAAUAAUAUAUUAACAUUUUCUGAGGACAACAUAUAUCUGGAAAACAACAUUAUUUACUCAAAUAAUUUUUUUUGAAAAAUGGACCAAAAAAAAAGAAAAACCGACAAAAA